UAAGCGCCGGUAAGGUGAUAUGAACCGUUAUAACCGGCGAUACCCGAAUGGGGAAACCCAGUGUGAUUCGUCACACUAUCAUUAACUGAAUCCAUAGGUUAAUGAGGCGAACCGGGGGAACUGAAACAUCUAAGUACCCCGAGGAAAAGAAAUCAACCGAGAUUCCCCCAGUAGCGGCGAGCGAACGGGGAGGAGCCCAGAGCCUGAAUCAGCAUGUGUGUUAGUGGAAGCGUCUGGAAAGGCGCGCGAUACAGGGUGACAGCCCCGUACACAAAAGCGCAUGUGCUGUGAGCUCGAUGAGUAGGGCGGGACACGUGGUAUCCUGUCUGAAUAUGGGGGGACCAUCCUCCAAGGCUAAAUACUCCUGACUGACCGAUAGUGAACCAGUACCGUGAGGGAAAGGCGAAAAGAACCCCGGCGAGGGGAGUGAAAAAGAACCUGAAACCGU
rnacentral:rRNA from 1 species